UCCUCAGUAGCUCAGUUGGUUAGAGCACCUGACUGUUAAUCAGGGGGUCCUAAGUUCAAGUCUUAGCUGGGGAGCAA
rnacentral:tRNA from 3 species